UUCUUUAUGAUUUAUAUAUAAGGUAUUUUCUGCCCAAUGAUUAAUUUAAAUGGCUGCAGUAUAUUGACUGUACAAAGGUAGCAUAGUAAUUAGUUUUUUAAUUGAGAACUUGAAUGAAGGGAUAAAUGAAAUAUUAUCUUUAUUAAUUUUAUUAUUAGAAUUUUAUUUUUUAGUUAAAAAGCUAAAUAAUGUUUUAGGGACGAUAAGACCCUAUAGAAUUUAAAAUAUAAAUUUAUUGAGUUAUUUUUAGAUAAAAUUUGUUCAUUUAAUUUAAAUUUUUAAUUGGGGUAAUUAAUAAAUUUUAUUUUAUUUUUUUAAUUCAUUAAUAUAUGUAUUUUUGAUCUUUUUUUAGGAUUAUAAGAUAAAUUACCUUAGGGAUAACAGCGUAAUUUUAAUGGAAAGUUCAUAUUUAAAUUAGAGUUUGCGACCUCGAUGUUGAAUUAAGAUAAUUUUAUGGUGUAGAAGCUUUAAUUUUAAGUCUGUUCGACUUUUAUAAUCUUACA
rnacentral:rRNA from 1 species